rnacentral:rRNA from 1 species
ACGCUCGACACCUACGGGGAGGCAGCAGUGAGGGAUAUUGGUCAAGUGGGGGAAACCCUGAACCAGCAACGCCGCGUGAGGGAUGACGGUCUUCGGAUUGUAAACCUCUGUCCUCUGUGAAGAUAAUGACGGUAGCAGAGGAGGAAGCUCCGGCUAACUACGUGUCAGCAGCCGCGGUAAUCUGAGGCGGGCUGGCAAGGC